CUCUCUCUCUCUCUAUGUGUGUGUUUGAGGCAAAAAUGGGGUCGCCACCUUCUGCCUUUCUCAAACAAAAGGCUAUUAUAUUCCUCAGAUUUUUUAUGAUCAUGUUCUUGUGCUCUAUACCUGAGAAACCCGACCUUCGUUCUAAGCAAUCUUAUGUCAACUCUUCUGCUCUAUCUUAUAAGAAUUCAUCAAACAUAUCUUCACUGGAAAAAUUGAAUCUAGAUGGUUACUUCAGCUUUGAUAAUAUUGAACAUGCAGCUAAAGACUUUGGCAACAGAUACCAUUUUCAUCCAACUGCAGUUCUGUAUCCGAAGUCAGUUUCUGAUAUUGCAUCCACAAUAAACUAUAUUUUCAAUAUGGGCUCCACUUCAGAGAUAACAGUUGCUGCCAGAGGCCAUGGUCACUCCCUCCAGGGUCAAGCACAAGCUCAUCAAGGUAUAGUAAUCAACAUGGAAUCACUUCAGGUUCCAGAGAUGCAGAUUCACAUGGGGGAGACACCUUAUGUGGACGUAUCAGGGGGCCAGUUGUGGAUUAAUGUUCUGCAUGAGACUCUUAAACAUGGGCUUGCACCGAAAUCAUGGACAGAUUACCUUCAUCUCACCAUAGGGGGGACAUUAUCAAAUGCCGGAAUUAGUGGACAGGCGUUCCGUCAUGGACCUCAGAUCAACAAUGUUUACCAGCUGGAGGUUGUCACAGGUAUAUUUAGGCAUGCUCUUGCAAUUUUGCAGACCACGUAGCUCAAGAUUAUAGUACAAGAUAUACAAAUUGUCAAAUCAGUACAAUGGGAAGGGCAGUCCAGUGAUUUUAUCAUUUCAUUAUGAAAUGACAACCUUACCCUUGCAUAUCAUAUUGUGAAAAACUUACUUCUAAAUCAAACAGCAGAAAAAAGAACGUACCCUGAACAAUAAUGAAAUCUAUCUCACAACCAUAUUCAAAUGUAAAUCUAAAACUAGGUACAACUGAAUCUAAUUUGACGCUUUCGGUGCAGGGAAGGGAGAAGUAAUUACCUGUUCAGAGCAGCAGAAUGCAGAUCUCUUCUAUGGUGUUCUUGGAGGACUAGGACAGUUUGGCAUAAUCACUCGGGCCAGAAUUUCUCUUGAACAAGCACCUAAGAAGGUAAACAAUAUUUCAUUUCUCCAGAAGCUUGAUAAAUAAAGUGGGUGGCCUAUUCCAAGAACCACACUCUAUAAUGGAAUCUACUAUUUUGACAGGUGAAAUGGAUCAGAGUAUUGUACUCUGAGUUUUCCAAGUUCUCCAGGGACCAAGAACAUUUAAUGUCAUCUGAGAAUUCUUUCGACUAUAUUGAAGGAUUUGUAAUUAUAAAUAGAACUGGUCUCCUCAACAACUGGAGGUCCUCCUUCAGUCCCAAAGACCCACUUCAAGCCAGCCAAUUCAUUUCAGAAGGAAGAACUUUUUAUUGUAUGGAAAUUGCUAAAUACUUCAACUCGGACGAGUCUGACCUUGUAAACCAGGUAAGAUUUCAAGAAAAGUAUCAUACAAUUCUAAUAAAUUCAUCAUAAUAUCCACUUGAUCAAAGUCCCUGUUUCUAACCUUUAUUCUCUAACUCAGAAACCUUGCUUUUUGGAACUAGAAGAUUCAGCCAUGGGUGUGAAACUUCCCAUAAGCCUUUUGCUCGGAGCUUUAUCUCAGACACAUGUACUCUAUCCAGGAAUUCCGCAUAAGAAACUUCUG
rnacentral:misc_RNA from 1 species